AACUUGUUGCCAUGGAAAUGCAAAAAGUAUUUUAUUCAGCAUUCCUUAACUACCAAAAAGCACCUGUACACCACCAUAUCUAUCUAUGUUGCCAGUUUGG